rnacentral:rRNA from 1 species
GACGAACGCUGGCGGCGUGCUUAACACAUGCAAGUCGAACGGAAAGGCCCUGCUGUUGUGGGGUGCUCGAGUGGCGAACGGGUGAGUAACACGUACGUAACCUGCCCUUGACUUUGGGAUAACUUCAGGAAACUGGGGCUAAUACCGGAUAGGAGCUCCUGCUGCAUGGUGGGGGUGGGAAAGUUUCGGCGGUUGGGGAUGGACUCGCGGCUUAUCAGCUUGUUGGUGGGGUAUUGGCUUACCAAGGCUUUGACGGGUAGCCGGCCUGUGAGGGUGACCGGCGACAUUGGGACUGAGAUACGGCCCAGACUCCAACGGGAGGCAGCAGUGGGGAAUAUGGCACAAUGGGCGGAAGCCUGAUGCAGCAGCGCCGCGGGUGGGAUGACGGCCUGCGGGUUGUGAACAGCUUUCGCCUGUGACGAAGCGUGAGUGACGGUAAUGGGUAAAGAAGCACCGGCUAACUACGUG